rnacentral:tRNA from 1 species
CUCCGGGUGGUCUAGUUGGUUAUGACAUUCGGCUGUAAACCGAAAAGUCGGCGGUUCAAAUCCUCCCCUGGAGA